AGCUUUGCGCAGUGGCAGUAUUGUAGCUAAUGAGGUUUAUCAGAGGCGCGAUUAUUGCUAAUUGAAAACUACAAUCACUUCUUAGCCCUGCAUCAGAACCUGCCAUCAACUUUUUCCUUCUGCAGCAAUUGUUUCCUUGUCAUUUUUGUGGGAAUUUGAUCUCUCCAAACAGGAG
rnacentral:snRNA from 2 species